GCAGAAGGCUGGACGGCCGCGCGGAAGGUGCGCCUUUUGCGAGGAAAGUCCGGACUCCCUAAAGCAACGGUGCCGGGUAACGCCCGGGCGGGGUGACCCGACGGAUAGCGCCACAGAAAACAGACCGCCACGUCCCGGGAGCCGUCAAGGCAAACGGAGCAGACGUGGUAAGGGUGAAACGGUGGAGUAAGAGCCCACCGCGCCGCUGGCAACAGGGGUGGCACGGCAAGCCCCACCGGGAGCAAUGCCAAAUAGGGUCCCCGCGCGGGCAGGUCGGUGCAAGCCGAAACCGCCGCUAGGCUUGCUUUAGCCGAGAGGGACCGGGUUGGCAGCUAGAGGUGCAUAGCAAUAUGCGCCGCAGAGGAAUGGUCGUCCAAGGGGCGCAAGCCCUGGGACAAAAUCCGGCUUACAGGCCUUCUGCGCGC
rnacentral:RNase_P_RNA from 2 species